UUUAAAAGUGGUCUGUCAGGCUGGGUGUGGUAGCUCACACCUGUAAUUUUAGCACUUUGGGAGGCAGAGACAGGAUCACUACUUGAAUCCAGGAGUUUGAGACCAGCCUGGGUAACAUGGUGAAAUUCCAUCUCUACCAAAAAAAAAAAA